UAUUGGUUACCUUUCCCUCAAUACAAACCAGUGGGAAACCUUGUAAUGUCCUUUAUAUCAAUGCUUCUUGCCCCGUUUUACAUGUAAAAUACAUAAAACAAGGACAGAUACGCAAAUGCCUAGACAAAGCCUGGUUGGAGUUUGGAGAAUUUCUCAUUAUGUAUUAUAUAGUUUUAAAAUUCAAAAAGAGUAACUCCUGUACCAUUGAAACUAUUGAGAUUCUUAACAUGAAGAGUAUAUACUUUAGCAUUUCAAAUAAAUAGGGAAAUAUCUUUAACAAGAUAUUUAUGACCUUUAAUAAACUUGAGAAUUUUAAGUCAGUUGUUUCAUCUACCCCCAAUGACUUUGUCCAGAGUACUGUGUACUACAAAGAGGAUAUAAAGUAUGACAUAAAAACACCUGUUGAAUUAUUUUGGUAAAAUUAAAAAGUACCUGUUAGUUUUACAUUGGGAACUUUUGACAUGACUCAUAGUAAUUUUAUGAUUAAAAACUUAAUAAUUUAAAAUAUUAUCCAAAUAAAAACACACGGCAUAUUAGCAAAGUAAAGUACUCCUUAGCUAGGUGUGCUGAUGCAUAUAAAGUUCUACAGUCUCUGUAAACGUCAGUCAAUGUUGUUUCUCCCUGCAAACGAUGGGUAAUAUGCAGUUGAUAUGAUUCGUGUUGAUGUUAACCAUGAAUUGCGAUUCAUACCCAGAGCACAUAUACAAAUAUCUGACUUUCUUCCUUGAAGGUGUUAGAAAUGUUCUAGGCAGUGCAUACAUUUUCUGUGACUCAUGUGUCCAUGUCAAGAUUGUGAUAUGUUAUUUCUUUAUAUGCUCAGCAUCACACAAAGCUUGUUAUCAUGAAGUAACUGGUAGGCUAUUGUUCCAGUUAAUACCAAAAGGAAAGAGAUGCAAGAGCUGAUUUGACUGUGUGUGUGUGUUUGUGUGUAUUAUCAGAGUGGAAGAUUCCAUCAAGUACAACAAUGAAUAAUUCAUGAACUGUAGUGUCCUAUUGCAACUGUAGUGUCCUAUUGCAAAGAGUUUUGUGUAUUUAAUGUAAAUACAAAAUAUGUAAUAUUUUAUAAGUUGUAUUAAUCAGUUAAUAAUUUAGGCUAUGCAGUCAUAGCAAACAACUCUAAAAUCUCAGUUACUGUAAUGAAUACAGAUUUAUUUCUUGCUAAUGCUGUGUGCCCAUGCUUGUCAGUAAAAGACUUUAGUUUACAACUUCCUCACUCAGGGACCCAGGAUCAUAAAGCCCCUGUCAUCUCCAGCAUCCUCAUCAUUCAUUCAUCAAGCACAGUGGAACGUGGUGAAUCACCCACAAGUUCUCAAAAGCCAGAAAAAAAAAAGUAGAGUCUAAACUUAAAAUUGAUGGUACCCGUUUUCUGUCAGUGGAGGUUGUGUUGAAUCAAGGAAUGAUGAUAAAGCUCUGGUUUAUUUUGAGAAAAUGCAGGAGAUAACCUUUUUGACAGCAACACCAGCCAAGAAAGGUGCCAGGACCUGCAGUACAGCUGUGUUUUCUGAACAGAUUUGAUUGUGUCAACAUGAUACUGAAAACUGAAUAGCUAUAUGUGUAUCUUUGUCACCUGCACCAACAUGAAUAAAAGUAACAUAUGUGCUAUCAUAUAUUAUUGUAAAAAGUAACCCAGAUAAACAUAUAAAUAAUACUGUAUGACUAUUUUACAUUGACAAGCAUAAUCCAAAAAGUUAGAAUAUAUCCAAUCCAUGUUUUUAGUGCCAGUAAGUUUCCCUGAAGCACUGAUGUUGCUGUCCCAUUCGUUUUGAUAUAUUGUAUUUUCAUUUUAAUUCAGUUCAAGUAUUAUUUGAAAAAAAAUUUCUCCUGAGAUUUCCUCUUUGACUCUUAGGGUUAUUUAGAAGGAUAGCAUUUAGUUUCCAAAUGUUGGGGCAUUUUUCUGUCAUCUUUCUCUGUUUUUGGUCAGAGAACCUCAUUCCCUGUGUUUUCUUUCUCCAUUUUGGUCAGAGAACACUGUUUUCAGUUUGGGGUUUUUUUUGGAUUUUUUUGGUUAUUAUUAUUAUUUUUUUAAUUUGUUGAGGUUUAUGUUAUGGCACAAAAUGUUGUCUGUCUUGGUGUAUGUUCCAUGGGCACUUGCACAGAUUUCGUAUUUAGCUCUUUUGGAGUAGGGUGAUCUAUAAAUGCUCAUUAGGUUCUGUUGGUUGAUGAUGCUGAUAAAUUCUUGUAUGUCUUUACUAAGUUUCUAUCUAGUUUUAUUGACUGUUGAAAUCAUUUAUGAAGUUUACAAGUAUAAUUGUGGAUUUGUCUAUUUUCCUUUCUCUUCUGUCAGUUUGACUUGAUACAUUUUGCCAUUCUAUUAUUUGGUAUAUGUAGAUAUUUAGGAUUGCUAUGUCUUCUUGGUGUAUUGAUUAUUUUAUCAUUGCAUAAUAUUCCUCUAUCUGGUAAUUUUACUUCCUCAAAGUCCACUGUAUGGAAUAUUCCUUUUUUCUUUGAUCAAUGUUUGCAUGAUAUUUCUUUUUCUGUUCUUCUGCUUUCAACUUGCCUAUAUUGUUAUAUUUUAUCUGAAUUCCUUGUUCUUAAAAUAUAGGCAGGUUACAUAUUUUAAUCCACUCUGCAAAUAUCUUUUAAUUUGCAUAUUUACACCAUUUACAUUUACUGUAGUUAUUGGUAUAUUAAGGCUAUGUAUGUCUGCCAUUUUAUUUUGGGCUUUUUUCCCCCUGUUUUUAUUUUAGUUUUUCCGGGUUUGUUUGUUUGUUUGUUUUCAUUGCCUUCCUGUAGGUUACUUGAGCAUAUAGAGAUUUCCAUUUUUAUUUAUAUGUAAUGUUUUUAAGAGUAUCUAUUCAUAUAGAUUUUUUAGUGGUUGCUCUAAGUAUUACAUCAUAUACAAAUGAUUUAUCACUGCCUACCAUUGUCAUUUUAUCAAUUACAAUGAAGCAUAGAACCUUUACCUUUCAUUAUGUAACUUUAUCCACUUCUACUUAGAGUAUAGUUGUCUUAAACAUUUCCUCUACAUGCAUCAGAAAAUGUUAUCAUUUUUGUUUCUACUGUCAAAUAUAAGUCAGAAAGUUCAAGAGGAGCAAGAAAAUCCAUUGUGUUUAUUGAUAUUUUCACUUACCAUGUUCUUCCUUCUUUAUUGAUAUUCCACCAUUCUUUUAUUGUUAUCUUUUUGUUUUGAGAACUUCUUCUAGUCAUUCUUUAGAGCAGACAGGUCUUCUUGUGACAAUAUCUUUGUUUUCCUUCAUCUAAGAAUGUCUUGAUUUCCCCUUCAUUCCUGAAAGAUCUUUUUAUCUGGACAUAGGAUUCCGGGUUGGUAGUUCUUUAAUUUCAGCACCUUAAAAUGCUAUGCCACAUCCUUAUGGGCCUCCAUGUUUUCUGAUGAGAAAUCUUCUAUUGAUUUUUUCCCUAUAGGUAAAGUGUCAUUUCACUCUAGCUCUUUUCAUGAUUUUUGUUUUUUUAUUUUUAGUUUUCAUAAGUUAGUGCUGUGUCUUGAUAUUCUUUAGGUUUUCUGUUUCUCAUUCAGGUUCAUGAAUCUAUAGAUUUAUGCCUUUCGUCAAAAUUUGAGAAAUAUUCAACCAUUAUUUCUUUGAGUAAUUUUUGAUCCCUGUCCAUUUUCUCUUCUUCCAGGUCAGGGAUCGAAUGUGCAUUUUCAUGAAUACUAGUUGGGUUUAUUACCACUGAGCCACAACAGGAACUUCACUUUAUGGGUUUUUUGUUUUGUUUUGUUUUGUUUUUUUAAAGUAUAGUUGAUUUACCAUGUUGUGAUAACUGAUCUCCCUUUAGUUGUAAUUAAGUGGGAGAUCCACACAAUUGGGUUUUGCUCUCAAAUUUUCCUUUUUUUUUUUUAAGACAUCUCACAGCCAUAUACAAAUAGCUAGUCAUACAGAUUAAUAAAUAGUGAUAUAAACAUAUUUAAAGAUAGUAGGCAAGUUUGCAUAUGUCAACCUCAUGGAUGUCCCCAAAUCCCAAGAUAACCUUGUCUCAGAAAAUACAAGUGAAGUUGGUUUGAACUUGUACCAGCUCCAACUUGAGCAUGCUUCCUGUUAUUUGGGAAGAUUUUCAUGGAGCCUCCCUGAGUCUCUUUUCUGAGUUUUUGCACCUUUUGAAUGCCUCAUCACCACUGUGGGUUUUGUUUCCUGAGCCUAAUGCCAGCUUGCCCAAGAGGUCACCCUGCCAUCUACCACCCUGAGCCUUUUCUUCCUCAAAGUACCACUGGUCCAGGCUGCGUGUUUGUCAGAUUUUGCUGUAGGAUCUGAGCAGUGGAGUUGAGUUAUGGCACGGAAAUAUUAGAUACCCCCAGUAUUCCACCUUCCACUGCCAAGGUGCAUAUUAUUGUGAGUUCAGCCUAUUAUACUAAUCACCAUGUCCAUGACCCCAGAAAACACUGGUUGAGAUGGAUGCAAACCCAGAAAAUAAACAGAAAGCUUAACCACAAAUAUAAUGUGAAAUUUGCCUAGAAUUAUUGCAAAAUUUAAAAGAUUAUGUGGUCAAAACAUGUGUCAGUCUUUACAAAGAGAUAGACUGAGAGGAACAUAGAGCAUAUCUCAGAUGCCAAAGUAGUAGUUUGCUGCUAACAUCAUUUUCUUCAGCAGUACCUGAAAUGCUGCUCGGGCUCUGCCAGGUGCUGAGCUGACAACUGAAUGAUUUGCUCUAAGUUCUCAUUAGAGACACAAUCAGGCUCUUGCAAAGUGAUGUUCUGCUGCUUAGGUAUCUUACAGAGGGAUUGGAGCAAGGUGAAGGUGUCCAUUUAUUAAUGUCUGUGUGAAAGCUGGACCACUCAGAGCAGGAGGAGAAGUAUCACUCCCUUGUCCUCAGGGAGCUAACAGUAUACUUGAGAGAUGCAA
rnacentral:lncRNA from 1 species